GUCUUGGAAAAACACAAGUUGUGUUUGCUUUGUAUUUAUUUCAAUUUCAUCUCUUUUCUAUUCAUCAUCUCAUUGUUAUUAAUACUACUCUUUGAAAAGUAUAAUGUGGAUUUAAGCUGUUGAUUUUUCUCCAUAUCAUGUUUGUCUAUUAACUUCUCUCUUAAUUGUUUGUAUACUCAUAAUUGGUUUCCCUUUUGCUAUUAUUUGUUCACAACAAUAUAUGGGAUAUAUUAUGUA
rnacentral:lncRNA from 1 species